rnacentral:rRNA from 1 species
UACGGAGGGUGCAAGCGUUAUCCGGAAUCAUUGGGUUUAAAGGGUCCGUAGGCGGUUUUGUAAGUCAGUGGUGAAAGCCCAUCGCUCAACGGUGGAACGGCCAUUGAUACUGCAAGACUUGAAUUAUUAGGAAGUAACUAGAAUAUGUAGUGUAGCGGUGAAAUGCUUAGAUAUUACAUGGAAUACCAAUUGCGAAGGCAGGUUACUACUAAUGGAUUGACGCUGAUGGACGAAAGCGUGGGGAGCGAACAGG